rnacentral:lncRNA from 1 species
GGGUUACCACCGGAGGGUUUUGAGCAGAGCCAUGACAUAUACUGAUCUGAAGCAGAAAAACUGCCAGGAAAAUGUCACAGCCACCCCUUACUGAACAGCAGAAACACCAGCAAAACACCAACUGCAACAUGGUGUAUUUUGAAGGUGAGAUUAAAGUUACCUACACCUAGAGAAAUAAUUGGAGUGCAUGUCUAUUUGGGCCAAGAGGAUAAAGGCCAGUAGAGGAAUCAGAUCAAAGAACUUCCUCGGGAAGUGUGCAGAGAACUGGAGUGGACCUUCUCCUAGGAAGCGGCCCAAAAGGAGAGUGCUGGAAAGCUGGCCGCAGUGAGGCGCUUCAGAUCCCAAGGGUAUGCUGGGGAAGCUGCCACAGGUGGGAGCACUUGCUGCUGGCCCCUAGGCACUGUUGAAACAACUGCACCCUCUGCAGGAGCCCAACAAGGUGCCUUCAGCCAUGAUUAUAAGUUUCCUGAGGCCUCCCCAGCGAUAAGAAACUCCAAAGCCAGGCAUCCCAUCUGGAGAGAGAGAAGACUGAAGCAGAAACACAAUGGGAAGGAAGCAAAGAUGGAGAGACGAGUUUUUGGAUUCAGCUGAAGCCCUUGCUAUCUGGUAGAGUCAGAGUCAUCACAAUUGGAGAGUCUUCAUUAAGCUACACUUUUUAAUGGAACAUCCUAGUGAGGUUUGAGAGUACAGCUUGAUGGUCUAUAUUACAUUACUAAGCUGAUUUUAU